CCAGACUCCUACGGGAGGCAGCAGUGGGGAAUAUUGGACAAUGGGGGGAACCCUGAUCCAGCGACGCCGCGUGAGUGAAGAAGUAUUUCGGUAUGUAAAGCUCUAUCAGCAGGGAAGAAAGAAAUGACGGUACCUGACUAAGAAGCCCCGACUAACUACGUGCCAGCAGCCGCGGUAAUACGUAGGGGGCAAGCGUUAUCCGGAUUUACUGGGUGUAAAGGGAGCGUAGGUGGUUUGACAAGUUGGUAGCGUAACUCCGAGGCUUAACCUCGGCACUACUACCAAAACUGUUGGACUCGAGUGCAGGAGGGGCAAAUGGAAUUCCUAGUGUAGCGGUGGAAUGCGUAGAUAUUAGGAGGAACACCAGUGGCGAAGGCGAUUUGCUGGACUGUAACUGACACUGAGGCACGAAAGCGUGGGGAGCAAACAGGAUUAGAUACCCCGGUA
rnacentral:rRNA from 1 species